CUCACUCAAAAUCGCAACAGCUGCCUGUACCUGGACAGUGACAGACCUCCUACAAACUGAGGACAUGAACAGAGUUCACAGAAAGAAAAACGCAAAUGCCAAUAAAAACAUUGAACCUCAACUGCAUCAAAAUCAGAGAGAUCAACACUAAAGCAACAAAUACUGCACACCUUUUAUGUAUCAAGUUGGCACAUUUAAGGAGUUCAAACUUUUCCGAUGACGAAAAGGAUGUGCAGGUGAAAGCAUUCUCCUUCAUUCCUGUGAUUGACUAGAGAAAGAUUAGUCUUUUCAACAAAUAGCACUGAAGCAAUGGGACAACUAUAGGUAAGACAAUGAACUUCAAAGUACCCCUCAGACAUUAUGUCAAAAUUAACUGUAUAUAUAUAUGUGUGUAUAUAUGCAUGUGUGCACAAUUGUAUGUGUGUGUGUAUCUGUAUGUAUGUAGUAUGUUUCUAUAGGUACCAUUGUACAGAUGAUUCUUAAAAGAGAGAGUUUUAGAGGUGUAGUGGAAAUAAAUGAUUAACUUUAUGUAACUAUUGUGUAAUUUCAGUGGUUAAGUAAACAUUUAUUCCUUUCGUUAAAAAAAGAAUCUCAUAAGCUAAUACUUCUUAUACGGGCAUGUGUGUUUUGGAAGAAUGUUACUUCCACAGAAACAUAAAUAUAAAUGUUACCAUACACAGAAUGACGUUUAAAGAAACGCUUUUUAAUUAUUAUUUAUCUGUGAUUUUAGUCUUCAGGACAUGAUGAGAAUUGAGGAAAUUUCAGGAGUUUCUUGUCAAUUACAGAAUUCUAUAAGUUCUUAGCUUUAGGUAGAUUUACAUUUGUAAUGAGCUAUCAGCUUGAACAAACUUCAAAAUAAUCUGUAAUAUUUCAACCCAAUAUUGAGUGAAAGCUGAUUUUAAAAGCAUAAUUUUCUUCAGCAUAUCUUAUCGAAUUAGUGGAGCAUAACUAUAUUAAUAGCCACAUAAU
rnacentral:lncRNA from 1 species